UGUCCAAACGCAAUUCUUGUGUUCCUGGUGGCAGCAGGAGUUGUGACUGGACAUCUGC
ensembl:miRNA gmo-mir-219-1 gmo-mir-219-1